UACGAAGGUGGCAAGCGUUGUUCGGAUUUACUGGGCGUAAAGGGAGCGUAGGUGGUUCGGUAAGCCCUCCGGGAAAUCUUCAGGCUUAACCUGAAAAGGUCGGGGGGGACUGCCGAGCUAGAGGACGGGAGAGGAGCGCGGAAUUCCCGGUGUAGCGGUGAAAUGCGUAGAGAUCGGGAGGAAGGCCGGUGGCGAAGGCGGCGCUCUGGAACGUUUCUGACACUGAGGCUCGAAAGCGUGGGGAGCAAAC
rnacentral:rRNA from 1 species